ACGAGAACGAAAAUGUAAAAAAAUAAAUGAAUAAAAAAUCAGAAAUACAAAACAAAUCUCAUACUUUAUAAUUUAAGUCUAUGUAAAACACUUCAGGUAAAGUUAAAUUAGWGAGGACAACUUGUUUUAAACAACUAAGCAUAGCUGAAAGUGGUGAGUGCACCAAAGCCCCAGCCCUCGCCUUCAGAAGCCACAUAAUUAGUUAAACAAGAUCCACCUGGAGGAUCUUAUUUAUAACGUCCAUCAGAAAAAUCUGUUUCCAUUUGUAUGUAAACAAGGUUUAAAAUCAGACUUUUCUCUGGGUUAUCAUGUCUGAUACAAACCUAACACCCUCCCACAGUAAAGCAUAGUAGCAGAGUUUAUUUCUUGAUGGCUUCCCAAUAAAAUAUACUUUGCAUUAGUGCUGGGCGGUAUACCGGUUCGUACCGAACACAAUUUUUAAUUUUUGUUAUGAUAUGAAUUUUCUGCAUACCGACAUACCGGUUUAAAUAGCCUGAACACGUGCGGAAUGUUUCGUCGYGGCCGCUAGUGAACUKUUUCCAGAGGGACACUUUUCUUCGCAGCACCGCUAUGUGCAUUAGCAUGCUAAUGUUGUUGCAGCGGCGGGUGGCAAUUCCGCUACUUAUAUUGGCUUACGUUUAAAAAAAAAAAAAAUCCAGUUUUUGCCAUCGCUUAAUGUAGUAAACACUUCUUCAGUGACAUGCACGGUUAGAUUAAACACGCAACAUUAAUAUGGAGAUGUGGAGACGCAUGGAGACUUUAACGUGCUUCUAUUGUGAAAAGCCCGGGGUAAGAAGUUUAGUGGAAUUAAGUUGAUUGGUGUGCAAGGUGAGUCAUCCUGAUAAGUUUUAUUAAAUAACAUAAAACAAUAGACCCAAUAAUAAUAAUCUUUUCUUAACCAUCCUCUUUCACAACGGGACCAAAAUGUGUGACUACUGUCUACAACCACCAGUCAGAGAAAAGACACAAGGAGGAGGGUAACAACAACACAGACAGAGUUCAAAUCUGGGUCACCAAAACCAGGAAUCAGGUGACAUUAUUCAGACCUGAACCAACACGAUCUUGUUUAAAUACAAGGGAUCUGUGAGGAGAGGUUUGUUAAUCACCUGCAGCAGUGAGAGCUUUAGACAGCCUGUGUAUUAUGUGUGUGUGCUACUCAUUAAAAAUAACUGCACGCUAUAAACAGUGCAGCUCCGGACCGGACAGCUCGCAGCCCUUGAAGCCCCUCCAGCUCCACGCUCUAAUCCCGGAGCCCCGCGGCUAGCUGCAGCCGCC